rnacentral:rRNA from 1 species
AACGAACGCUGGCGGCGCGCUUAACACAUGCAAGUCGAACGCAUGCUUGAUCUUCGGGUUGGGCAUGAGUGGCGGACGGGUGAGUAACGCGUGGGAACCUGCCCUGAGGUUCGGGACAACCGUGGGAAACUGCGGCUAAUACCGGAUAUCUCCUUUGGGAGAAAGACUUGUCGCCUUGGGAGGGGCCCGCGUCGGAUUAGCUUGUUGGUGGGGUAACGGCCUACCAAGGCAUCGAUCCGUAGCUGGUCUGAGAGGAUGAUCAGCCACACUGGGACUGAGACACGGCCCAGACUCCUACGGGAGGCAGCAGUGGGGAAUCUUGGACAAUGGGGGGCAACCCUGAUCCAGCGACGCCGCGUGGGUGACGAAGGCCUUCGGUGUAAGACCUUUCUCGGGUAGAUGAUGACGGUACCCGACGGAAGUAAGACACCGGCUAACUCCGUGCCAGCAGCCGCGGUAAU